rnacentral:rRNA from 1 species
CAGCCGCCACGGUAAUACAGAGGGUGCGAGCGUUAAUCGGAUUUACUGGGCGUAAAGCGUGCGUAGGCGGCUUUUUAAGUCGGAUGUGAAAUCCCUGAGCUUAACUUAGGAAUUGCAUUCGAUACUGGGAAGCUAGAGUAUGGGAGAGGAUGGUAGAAUUCCUGGUGUAGCGGUGAAAUGCGUAGAGAUCUGGAGGAAUACCGAUGGCGAAGGCAGCCAUCUGGCCUAAUACUGACGCUGAGGUACGAAAGCAUGGGGAGCAAACAGGAUUAGAGACCCCAGUAGUCCCUGUCUCUUAUAC